rnacentral:lncRNA from 1 species
UCAAUGAUAAAAAUGUUAGUCCAACUGAAAAAUCCCAACGUCUUCUAUAUGUUAACUUACCAAUUCACAACACUAAAAGAACUUGAGCAAAGUGAGUAAAUGAAGUUCCCAUUACACUGGGAAAAAAAUAAUGUACAAAAAAAAUUCAUAUACACCCAUUACUACUAUUUUUGAAUAGAGAAAACUACAGCUAUAAUUACCACAUACAAUAACUAAUAAAAAACACCAUUUAUUCCCAACAAUCUUGUCUGCAUUUUUAAAACACACAUGUUCGAACAGGCCAUCCUCCACAACCUCAUUCACAUUUCCAACCCCUUGCAAAUUAACAUUAUUUGAGCUCAACAUAGAUGUCAUAUUGUUGUCCUCCAUGCAUCUCCGGUUGUGUCCUGUCACCUAUAAAAUGAAUACCUUAGACUAAUUAAUAAAAAGCCUAUACAAUAAUUGUUGGUAGAGAUUUUGUUUUAUGUUUUUGAUGCAUUUGCUUAAUUGAUUUGUAUGAUAAUAGUUUGUUUGUUAGGAUGUUGCAACAUAUUCACAAUUAUGUAUAUGGUACAAAUGACACGUAUUUGUAUGUUAUUUGCAGGGUGUACUACUUGGAUUAAGGGGAGAGAUGGAAGAUGUGCUAACUGAUAUUCCUCCUCCUUCAAGGUUCUUCUUGGAAGAUCUCAACAAUUUUGCUCCAUCUCCAACUCCUCUUCCAUCUCCCUUCAUAUUGUUCUCUAUCUCUAAUCCUAAGAAACCACUCUGUCCCUCUCUUCUAAUUAUUGCGUUGUCCUCUUCAUCUCUUCACUUCUUACACCAUCUGUCUUCCAAAGUCCUAAUUGGAACUUUAGUCCUCCCUGAAAUUCCCUUCACAGGCAAUUCAGUAGAACAGUCUCUUGUAGACAAAUCUUGCAACAUUUAUACCCUAAAUGUUGCUGAUAAGCUUCUUUACACUUUUGUGUUUCUUCUCCUUACAUUAUUUUUCUAAUAAAUCCUCCUACACAUACACAGUACAUUACUUGAAAAAUCAAACUUUAACGUAAGCUAUACAAAACUAAUAAAUGGCGUUGGAAACUCCAUAAUUCCAACAAAAUUAACAAAUCCACAUGUCAAAUAGCCAAUAAGUCCAACACAGUUGGCUAAAAUAAAUUAAGUGAACUCCUUAGUGCAAAAAACAAUUCCACAUGAAAUAACAUAAAAAAAAUAGCAUAAAAAAAUCAGACAGCAUAUUAGGAUGGAAAGAAUGGAUUCUUGGCACAUACCUAAAGAAAAAUGAUUACUUUACAAUGUUCUAUUUUGUUUCCCAAUAUACCUUAAAGGUCUAACGUUUCAAACAAACAAAAGGGUGAUACAGUCAGAUUAAACAACUAAUACAUUCAUAUGUGAAAUAGAUAACUUAAUUUACGAAGUCCCAGGACAAAGAGAUACAAUCUUAGCAUUAAUAAUCACUCUCGCAACUGAUGUUCAAGCUCGUAAGGUCUAGUUCACAAUGUUCAGUUGGCAAAAUUCCUUAGUUUCCUGUUUUGUAAAAAGGAGUCAUAGACACAAUGCAUAGUUUGGAAAGUUUAAUGAACGCAAAAUGUAUUCAUGACUAAAGCAAUCAUCUAAACCCCCUUAUUUAUAUUCUUAAUAUAAAUGUUUGUGAUGUUAUGCACAUGCAUAAGGAUAAGAGAAUGAAUAGGUUAAGCCACCCCCAUCAUUUCUUUAUGAAUGGGUUAAAGAUAUAAGUUAGAAUGAAAAUUAUUUAUAAAAAAAUAUAUCUUCUUGAGGAAUUGAAAGGAGAAAGAACCCCAUAUGUGUGACCAACAGCUCACCCAAAAGCCUUCAGCAUAUGAUAAGAGUAUCAACUAAUAAUAAAACUUCUAAGACAUUAGAUUCUUAUUUUUGUUGAACAUCAUGUAUUAUAUGAUAAAUAAAAUUAGCAAACAUAAUUAAUAAGUAAAACUCAAAAAGUUUUGUUAAUUUUUAUAACCAAACAUCUUAAAGGUGAAAGAUGAACAAAUCCUAGAGUUUGAAACUCUUGGAUUAUUGUAGAAGAACAAUAUAUACCUGAUCUGCGCUUGAGGCCCGAGAAAUUGAAGCAUAUAAUAUUAUCGAGCCUAAUCCCUGUCCGACUUCGUAUUCAUUUGUCCUACAAAAGAUGUUUAGGAUAAAUCAGAGAUAAAUAAUGAGAGAUUUGGGAUGCAUCAAAUCUCAGUACUGGAAAAGAUCUAGGGAGGGAGUAAUUUACCUUAGCGUUUGAGCUCCUUCUCGCAAUCGCACUUAAAGGUUGGGAAAGAUGGGGAUUCAAGCCUUUCCAAAAGUUAGCUAGCGAGAGGUAGGUUCUUAUUUUCUUCUAUAAUAAUCUUUUAUGGGCGUAGUUUAUGUUAUUUCAACAGCCACAACCACGACAGAGGCCGCACUGGAAAGCAUACAGUUUCACAGAAGAAUAAAUAAAAAAAUUUAAAAAAAAAAGAACACAGGAAGUACUGUAUUUAAAAAUACAACACAUACACAGUAUACCAAAAGUAACAGUGAGAAGGACGCUCUUAUGAGAUGGAAUGCAGAGCUAAAAAUGUCAAAACAAAAGCUAGACUUUUAUCCACAUUCUCACCCGAAACUACUUUCUACAAUUUCGAAUUUCUGACCAGCAUUUCAGCUUCUUUCUCUACAACUCAAUCACAAUAAAAAGGGGAAUCAUGCAUGUCAACUGUCAAUUAGAUGGCAGGAACAUACAAUAAUCCAGCUUCUAAAAUGGAAUGCAGGGAAAACAGUUCCUAUAGGUGUAGCAAAAAACCCAAAAUUGGUUUAUAUGCCAAGAAUUUAAAUAGAUGUACCACGCGAAUAUCCAUAAACAGACCACAAAGUUUAGAAUGUUACAAAUUUUUCUCCUAUGUUUCUCUUUGGUUCGCAUAUCGCUCCAUUAUAUACCUCAAUUAAAAUAACCAAGAAUUCCUAAAACAAAUAAUUACUCAUCACCCAAUAUUAACUUUUCAAUUUGAAAAAUUCCCACUUCACAAACACACACAUUGUUACAUAUUUACACUUACACAUCACCAUUUAGACNNNNNNNNNNNNNNNNNNNNNNNNNNNNNNNNNNNNNNNNNNNNNNNNNNNNNNNNNNNNNNNNNNNNNNNNNNNNNNNNNNNNNNNNNNNNNNNNNNNNNNNNNNNNNNNNNNNNNNNNNNNNNNNNNNNNNNNNNNNNNNNNNNNNUAAACACAUGAACAUAUAAAAACCCAAAACUAACAAAUCAAAGAAUUAAUUAGAUUGAAAAGAGAGAGUGAUAAAGGGGAAAUUACCCGGGCAACAUCAAUGGGUUGAUUGAGUUCACCAGGAUUAAUAUCCUGCAAUGAAACUUGGUCCUUGGUGAGCUUAACAUAAGACCCCUCCGCCAUUUCUUUCAAUUGAAAUUGUCGCCUGAUAUAUACCACAAAACAAAAAACAGAAAAGGAUCGGUCGAAAUAACCCUAAUUUGUGAAAUAAGAACUGACAAAAUAUGCAUGGGGUAAAUAUGAAUGGAAGGACCAACCGAAAAAGGAGAAAUGAGAGGAGCAAAAGGAGAAGAAUGAAGAUGAGAAGGAGAAAAACGAUUUGGUUAAUUGAGAAGAUGGAAGAGUGGGGAAGUUGAAGGGGAAGGGGAAGGGGAAGGGAAAGAAACGGAAAGUGGAACAAAAAGAAGAAUGAAGAUGAGAAGGAGAAAAACGAUUUGGUUAAUUGAGAAGAUGGAAGAGUGGGGAAGGGGAAGGGGAAGGGAAGGGGAAGGGGAAGGGGAAGAAGAGACGGUCGAUUUUGUGGAUUGAUGGAUGGAAUUGGUUCCAAAUUCGCGAGUUAUUCAAUUGACUGAGUUAAUUUUU